GGCUACUCGACGUCGUUUCAAUGGAGUCAAAGUGUCAAAAUCCAGCAGAUUGUGGAACCCAGCACAAGAGUUGAAGAGAGUACUGCUUCCAUGGCGGCCGAACGUCCUCCUGUCAUCGCCUCCGCAACCACAAACGCAACCUCAGUUCUGCAGGAGAAACGGUAUCGUUCCAUAUUUGACGUCCCAGCCAACUUCUUAGACGCCUGCCGCUUACUGUCUUCCUCCGCAGGUUUAGUAUCCGAGACCUCUGAGAAAUAUGAGAAUCCCCCUAUCAUCGGAACCCUAGAGGAGACCGAUGAUAGGGAAGAGAAGAGUUCUAGAAAUGGCGCCGCAAUGCUUAGAUGGACUUGUAACAUCUGCAAGGC
rnacentral:misc_RNA from 1 species